UACGUAGGUGGCAAGCGUUGUCCGGAUUUACUGGGCGUAAAGAGCGCGCAGGCGGUCGUUCAAGUCGCGUGUGAAAGCCCCCGGCUCAACUGGGGAGGGUCACGCGAUACUGAUCGACUCGAAGGCAGGAGAGGGUAGUGGAAUUCCCGGUGUAGUGGUGAAAUGCGUAGAGUAUCGGGAGGAACACCAGUGGCGAAGGCGACUACCUGGCCUGUUCUUGACGCUGAGGCGCGAAAGCUAGGGGAGCAAAGCGGG
rnacentral:rRNA from 1 species